UGGAACAUGAUCGUAAGGGCUGGCGGUCAGUCCUUUCCCUUAUGUUC
rnacentral:pre_miRNA from 1 species